rnacentral:tRNA from 1 species
GAGGUUGUAGCUCAGUGGUAGAGCGCAUGCUUAGCAUGCAUGAGGUCCUAGGUUCAAUCCUCAGCACCUCU